UCAGACGAUGCGUCAUGCAUAUCAAUAAGCGGAGGAAAAGAAACUAACAAGGAUUCCCUUAGUAACGGCGAGUGAAGCGGGAAGAGCUCAAAUUUGAAAUCUUCAAGGUUUUACCUUGACGAAUUGUAGUUUAAAGAAGUGUUUUCUGCUGAAGUUUUGGUAAAAGUUCUUUGGAAUAGGUACAUCAUAGAGGGUGAGAAUCCCGUAUUUGACCAUUAUUUUCAGCUUUGUGAUACACUUUCAAAGAGUCGGAUUGUUUGGGAAUGCAGUCCAAAAUGGGUGGUAAAUUUCAUCUAAAGCUAAAUAUUGGCGAGAGACCGAUAGCGAACAAGUACCGUGAGGGAAAGAUGAAAAGAACUUUGAAAAGAGAGUUAAAUAGUACGUGAAAUUGUCAAAAGGGAAGCGUUUAACACCAGUGUUGUUUUCUGAAAAUCAACCUCUGUUAGCUUUAUGCAUGUUUGUUUAGACCUAAUCAGCUAUCUUGCAUGUUCUAUUGUUUGCAGUGGUGCACUUUUCAGUUUACAGGUCAACAUCAGUUUUUUUUACCGUAAAAAAGUUAAAGAAAGGUAGCUCAUGGCUCCGGUCGUGAGUGUUAUAGUCUUUUUCCUAUGCGGUAGGAGAGACUGAGGUCUGCAGUGUAGGCUAUUUGGCUAGAUACUCAGGUGCUAUGUGAUACCAUUUCAUAAACAACUUGUUGAUUAUGUUUUGUCUAUUGCAUACUCGCUUGUACUAUCAUACCUACGCUUAGGAUGUUGACUGAUAUGUAGUCGUA
rnacentral:rRNA from 1 species